rnacentral:rRNA from 1 species
CCUACGGGAGGCAGCAGUGAGGAAUAUUGGUCAAUGGGCGGGAGCCUGAACCAGCCAAGUCGCGUGAGGGAAGACGGUCCUACGGAUUGUAAACCUCUUUUGCCGGGGAGCAACGGGGUCCUUGCGAGGGCCCGAUGAGAGUACCCGGAGAAAAAGCAUCGGCUAACUCCGUGCCAGCAGCCGCGGUACUACGGAGGAUGCGAGCGUUAUCCGGAUUUAUUGGGUUUAAAGGGUGCGUAGGCGGUCCGUUACGUCAGCGGUAAAAUUGCGGGGCUCAACCCCGUCGAGCCGUUGAAACUGGCAGACGUGAGUUGGCGAGAAGUACGCGGAAUGCGCGGUGUAGCGGUGAAAUGCAUAGAUAUCGCGCAGAACUCCGAUUGCGAAGGCAGCAUACCGGCGCUCAACUGACGCUCAUGCACGAAAGUGUGGGUAUCGAACAGGAUUAGAUACCCCUGUAGUC